GAGGCCCAAGCCGGUGCCCAAAUCCCAAACGUGCGGCUCCGCGGGCCGCUCACCAUCACUCCUGGCGGCGGGAUGCAGAGCGGAGGCGGAGGCGGGCUAGCAACACAGAUCCAGGCAGCAGCUGGGUGGGGCGAUGCGCCGAUGAUGCCGCAGCAGCGUAAGCAAACAGAUAAGUUUGGCUGCCUGCACUUGAUGAUUCAGCUUUGAAAGCCACUGUCGAUUGAUGUGUAAUCUUAAUCAGGAAUUCAAGACAGAAAACCCUGAUUCUUCUUCUUUUUUUUUACUUUUGUAUAUGCAUAGGGGUGGUGCUAUGUUAGGUAGCUCCAUCAGUUCAUCUUAAGAAACUUUUCUGCUCGAAAUCUAUCUCUCCUCUGUUGAGUAAAUUAUAUCUUGUGCAGUAACUGUAAUCCA